CAGGAUCAUGACCUGAGCUGAAAGCAGGUGCUCAACCAACUGAGCCACCCAGACAUCCCCAUUUUCUUAAACACUGAAUACCCAUUAUUACUUAUAGACACUGUUGAAUCUAAUAGAAAAUGGUACAUGAUUUGAAAAGGAGAAAAUAGUGCAUGUGUGUUUAAUCUGUGGAAGCUAGUAUAUGAGUCCCGAACAGAGCUGUGCUAGGGCUCCCUGCUCUCCUGCGCCUCACGCUAAAGACUGCCUAUUCUAGGGCCCCCUCCUGGAGGAAGUCCAGACUGGGCCUUCAGGCAGCUCCACUCAGGUGGACUAAUACUUCGCUUCAGCUGAAAAAAGAAAAUCCUGCCAAGAAAACUAAUCAAAGAAUCUGUCCUGCCAUCAUUGGGUCUUUGUUCUAGCCCAGGCGUGGGACUUGUCACAACUGGAGUUGCUAAAUGGAGCUGUGUAAUCUUUUUCUGAUAAUGGGUAGUAAAAUGUAUCCCAAUUUACAGAAUUCAGAGAACUAGAAGUCAGAAAUUACCACAUUGGUUACAGGAAAUUUUUCCUUGCCUUAGGAUGGGGGAGUAAAAUUAUAAAUCGUAAACUUGCACACUGUAGUGGUUGUGUUACAGGGCCCCUACAAGAUGAGAGCCAAGCCCUGCCCUUACCUCCCUGAUACUCCCCAACCCUUCUCUCUUUUCAAUUAGUCUAUUCCAAACCACCCCCAAGCCUAUUUUAUUUAAAUUGUAAUAAUCAGAGCGCCUGGGUGACUCAGUUGGUUAAGCGGUUAAGUGGCUGCCUUGGGCUCUGGUCAUGAUCCUGGAGUCCUGGGACUGAGCCCCCCACGCCGGACUCCCUGCUCAGUGAGGAGCCUACUUCUCUCUCUCUCCCUCUGCGCCUCUGCCUGCUUGUGCUCUCAAAUAAAUGGAAGUCUUUAAAAAUAUAAAAAUAAAAAAUAAAUUGUAACACACCAGUCCAAAAAUGCACAUUAUUUCUACUUAAUUUUUCUUAAGGGCAUUUAUCUCAUCUAAUAUAUCACAUGUUUUUGUGUUUAUGUUAUAUAUUUAUCUUCCCUCUGAGGGGAGGGAUCAUCUCCUGCUAAAACCUUAGCACAUAGAAGAGUGUGUUGCACAUAGUAGGCGCUCAACAAAUACUUGUUUAACUGCUCCCCAUUUAUUUCCUUCUUUCAUGUAAGAUUGUAUCUUGAGAGAGACUUGAAACUGACAAUGGUUUCACAUAACCUGUACCACCAUAAAUAGUUGACUGGGUUUUCCCAAGGGGGAGAGGAGUGCUUUCUGGAGUUACCUUUUGUUCUUGCUUUGGAUAGGUUUUCAGUCUGAGAAUUGAGAAGAUGAAUACUACUAUAAUCACAAUUAUGUUGUUUUUCAGCAUAAUUGGAAUAUGUUCUCCAGAGAUUGUGACAUCCUUUGGGGAAUACCUGCUGUCUAGGUAGUUGAAAGGCAAAGCAAGGAGAAUUCCCUGCAGACAUGUUGCCUGACAAGGACUGGUACCCAGCAACCUCUAAAAGUCUGGCUACCUGACCCUCAUCUCCAAACAGCCAUCUUUCCCCCUGGGGUCCUCACCCCUAAUGCUCUCCGGUAUCCUUCCUCCCCCCAACAAAAACCCUCCUGGGGCUUCCCAUCACCAAGACUAAAAUCGAAAGUCCAUCUUGUGGCCUAUAAAGCCAUGGGUGAUUGGGCCCCUGAUACUCCUAUCCCUUCCCACCUUACACCAAGCCUGCCUCAGCUACUGCUAGAACCUGCCAAACCAGCUCCUGCUUUAGGGCCUCUGUUUCCUCCACGAGUGCUGAAGAUAAGCACCUGACUCACUCACUCACCUCUUAGGCCUCCACUCAGGUGUCUCCUUGGUAGCGCCUACCCUGACUGUGCUAUUUUAGUUAAAUCCCCCACCCUAACAGCCAAGCACUCCAUAUCCCCUCCCUGUUGUUUUUCUUCAUGGUUGUCUUCAUGUUUGUUUUACCUAUUUGUUUAUUAUUUGUUUCCUUCCACUAGACUAUAAACUCUCCAAGGAAGGGACUGUUGAAUUGUUCACUGCCAGAUGCCCAGCACACCUAGAAUAGGGCCUCACACACACAAAGUAUGCUGUAAACAUCUGUUGACUGAAUACCUCAGAAAUGUGUUCAACUCUUCUAUAUCUUCACUAAUUUUUUGUGUGUACUUGGCCUAUCAAUAAUAGCAAAAGGAGAACAGGCCUGGGCUAGCCUGCUGGAGGAUGAGAAGCCACAUGGAGAAGAGCUGAGGUCAUCCUAUACCAGUCACCAGCCACCAGACCCCGAACAUGCAAGCCAAGCCAGGAUUAGCAUACCCACCUACCUGACCUGCAGCUGCCCACGGUUGCAUGUGUGAGCCCACCUCGGGCCAGACCAACUGCCCAGAUGACUUUAGACUCAUGAGCAAUAAUAAAUAGUUAUUAUGUUAA